rnacentral:lncRNA from 1 species
GGAAGUUAAAUGAUUUGCCUGAAAACUGCCACCUCACAGGAUUGAGAAUAAAAAUGAGCUCCCCGCUUAUCUGUGAGUACCACUUAAAUUUGCAGCCGUGGGUUGCCAGGAGGGACCGUUGCCCAAGGUGCUGCCUUUAAGAAGGGAAUCUUCAUCAACUGUGUUUCUGUUGGGGGCCAGAUAUGUACGUAUGUAGAGCAGAAGUAAACUGCAAGUUCCAAGAGGGCAAGGAUGCCUUGUUUAUGCCCAGAAUCUACCACAUACGUACACUCCAUAACUAUUUGUGGAAAGAGUGAAUGAAGUUAUCCAUCAAGUUGAGACUGGGUGAUUUAAAAACAGCCAGCAGGGGGUACAGCUGCCAAUAGCCCAAGAUCAUCCAAACGAAAGAGAGAGCCUCUGUCUAUCUUACAUUUGGAGAAAUCUGGGAAAGGAUUCAAACUGGUCAGGUAAACAUUUUCUCUCCUGAAGAGUCUUG